rnacentral:RNase_P_RNA from 1 species
AAUUACGGAUAAUCGCGCAUUGUUUACAAUGUGAGGAAAGUCCAUGCUCACACAAACUGAGAUGUUUGUAGUGUUCGUGCGCAGCGAAAAAAUAAGCUGCGGCUCCAUUCUAUAGAGUGGAUGACGGCAGAAAAAAGGGCUAAGGCUAAAGCUACGCCUGAGUAUUCUUGAAAGUGCCACAGUGACGAAGCAGCAGGGGAAACUCUGCUGGUGGAACGCGGUAAACCCCUCGAGUGAGCAACCCAAACAUAUGGUAGGGGCACUUUUCUCCUGAAAAUUAACAGAGAGAAGAGGCAAUUUUAAUUGCAGACAGAUGAUUAUCUCUGAGAAAACAGCCUGAUCGUUUUCUCUAGACAGAACAUGGCUUAUAGUA